GACAACGCAAUGAGAUGGAAAGUACAGCUGAAAUUUUAUCUAACAGAGAGCUUGGGUAGCUGAAAACAAGCGAUAAAUGAAAUCUGGAAAAUGGCCAUUGAGCAGCGCUUCGAGUGAAUAGUUCAUAAGACAGCGACGGGAGCACCCGUUAUAGUGCUAAAGUAUACUCAAAAAUUUUGACGUACUUGAUGAGGGUAUCUAUGUGAAUGGAUACUAAAUAGAGGUGGUAACACGCAAAAGCGUCCUCAAA
rnacentral:ncRNA from 1 species